UUAACCUCAAAUCAGGUAGGACUACCCGCUGAACUUAAGCAUAUCAG
rnacentral:rRNA from 1 species